GACGAACGCUGGCGGCGUGCUUAACACAUGCAAGUCGAACGGAAAGGCCCCGCUUUUGUGGGGUGCCCGAGUGGCGAACGGGUGGGUAACACGUGAGUAACCUUCCCUUGACUUUGGGAUAAAUUCAGGAAACUGGGGCUAAUACCGGAUAGGAGCUCCUGCUGCAUGGUGGGGGUUGGAAAGUUUCGGCGGUUGGGGAUGGACUCGCGGCUUAUCAGCUUGUUGGUGGGGUAGUGGCUUACCAAGGCUUUGACGGGUAGCCGGCCUGAGAGGGUGACCGGCCACAUUGGGACUGAGAUACGGCCCAGACUCCUACGGGAGGCAGCAGUGGGGAAUAUUGCACAAUGGGCGGAAGCCUGAUGCAGCAACGCCGCGUGCGGGAUGACGGCCUUCGGGUUGUAAACCGCUUUCGCCUGUGACGAAGCGUGAGUGACGGUAAUGGGUAAAGAAGCACCGGCUAACUACGUG
rnacentral:rRNA from 1 species